rnacentral:rRNA from 1 species
GACGAACGCUGGCGGCGUGCUUAACACAUGCAAGUCGAACGGAAAGGCCCUGCUUUUGUGGGGUGCUCGAGUGGCGAACGGGUGAGUAACAAGUGAGUAACCUGCCCUUGACUUUGGGAUAACUUCAGGAAACUGGGGCUAAUACCGGAUAGGAGCUCCUGCUGCAUGGUGGGGGUUGGAAAGUUUCGGCGGUUGGGGAUGGACUCGCGGCUUAUCAGCUUGUUGGUGGGGUAGUGGCUUACCAAGGCUUUGACGGGUAGCCGGCCUGAGAGGGUGACCGGCCACAUUGGGACUGAGAUACGGCCCAGACUCCUACUGGAGGCAGCAGUGGGGAAUAUUGCACAAUGGGCGGAAGCCUGAUGCAGCAACGCCGCGUGCGGGAUGACGGCCUUCGGGUUGUAAACCGCUUUCGCCUGUGACGAAGCGUGAGUGACGGUAAUGGGUAAAGAAGCACCGGCUAACUACGUG